GACGAACCGUGCGAACGUUAUUCGGAAUCACUGGGCUUAAAGCGCGUGUAGGCGGGCCGCCGCGUCGGCUGCUGAAAUCCCCCGGCUCAACCGGGGAACGGGCACCGAUACGGGCGGCCUCGAGGGGGGUAGGGGGUCUGGAACUUCCGGUGGAGCGGUGAAAUGCGUUGAGAUCGGAAGGAACGCCCGUGGCGAAAGCGAGGCCCUGGAC
rnacentral:rRNA from 1 species